GCGCCUUUGCAAAUGGUCUUUCUUGGUCUUUGCAGUGAAGUCGUCUUACAGUCACCAGGCCAGCCUUGGGAGGUACAAGGAUCAUCCAGGGCCUGAUCUGAGUCUGGAGAAUGGGGGCUUCCUGACAAUGAUUUAGAGGCCGGUAUGAGCAGGCUCUCAAGCUGAGAGGGGUUGUUUGGGCAUGAUAGAAGAUCUCCUUGAUUAACUCUCCACAGCUAACACUUAUCCUGGGUGUUUGUCUGCUUUUCAUCAGGCUUUGUACAAGGGAGAGAGGUACGAUCAGUUCACACUCCUGCAGCAGAGGCUUGUUUGCAAUUUUGCAAAGCAACAGCUUCUCUUGUUUCCUUGUCAUUCAACAUAAAGAGAGGACUCAUAAAAUCAUAGAAUCACAGAAUGGUUUUGGUUGGAAGGGACCUUGACGGUCAUCUAGUUCCAGCUCCCCCACCAGAGCACAGAUGCCACCCACCUGGCUGACAGAGCACAAAGUCAUGUCGAAUGCAACUGACAGCAAAAACCAGGAGGGGAUAGGGAAGUCAAACAAUCGCUCCAGAUCUCAGGAGAAAUGGACCAAACAAAUGGACCAUACAAAUAUGUUCUUGUGUGACCUCUCCCAAGAAGAUGGACUUCUGUCCUCCUCCAGUAGCAUGACCACAGUGAGGUUCGUGAAUUUUCUAAUACCUGUGUGUUAGCAGAUUUGAUCCAUGUCACCCAUUCCACACUUGGAUCAUGUUUUAGGCUCUAGCAUUGACACUAAUAAAGUCCUUGUUCUAACUAUGCUGUUUUCAACCACUGGAGCUCAUGGUGUUUGUAGGUCCAAACCCAGGACACAGGGAACAAACACCUUUCACUGCAAUAAUGCCAAUAUACUGACCAUGGCUGGUGUUCCAAAUGGAGCUCCUCUUCAGAGAGCUUAUGUCUUAAAUUUACACCCUUCUAUCCCUUUUCCCUCUCCUGGAGCCUUUUAUAGUUGCCUGACAGAGAGCCAAGGAUUGAGCUCCUCCCAUGCUGGCUGAAACAAGUCAGGAUGCUUGAACAAUGCCAGCUCCCAGCCUGGGAGAUCAGGCAGGCGAGUGGGUGACAAGGAGGAGGGAAGAACGCACCUUUGAGCAGCAGCCUUCGUGAUGUAUUUGGAUGAGGGUGUUUGUUCACAGCUUCAAUGAUUUUUCCACCUCCAGCAAACUGCUGACUACCAUCUGAUGGCAAAAUAAACCAAAAUUGUGUGCAUCACCUCUACUUCUUACUCUAACAGCAAAACAUCUGCAUAGCUGUGCUCCUGAGCCCCUCUGGUAGUCUGAAGUUGAGGAUUCAGAUCCUUCGUAUAAAAAAGGAUGUGAUGUAAUCCAUUUUUCAUUCAGUGGCUUUCAUAGAUGUGGAGGGUGAGAAAACAUGCUUAGAACAGCUGUGGAGUUUAAAAUGAGUGUGUUGGCUGCAAAACACUGUGUGGCGGGACACACUUUGCUGCAUUUGGCACAUGCUGGAAGAGCUGGGGUUUGAGAAGUACCAUUCAGAUUUCAGUAAUCCACAUACAAGUUCUUCUCAGGGAACGAUAGACAUAGCUACUGUGGAGUACUUUUUGUCCACUAGGCUUGUUAUCCUGUCAAAGAAUAUAAUUAAAUUGGCUUUUCAGAUGCACUAUAAGCCCCAGUUGUCUGCUAUUUAUCACCUUAUUUUGCUGUAGCUGCUCACACAACAACUAUGUUAUUAAUUCGUUACCUAGUUUUUAGCAAUUGAUGUAGUGUUCUUUGUGUUCUAGUUCCCUGUCUUCCAUUACCUAUAUAGAUUGGAAGCUUUUUCAUUUCUUGGAAGGAAAAACUGGCUUCUAUUCUUUCCUAGCAGAUAACAUUUAGGGUCACACUUUGACUGCAGGAGUGCUCAUAAGUAAUCCUCACAGUUGUGAUUAUUCAGCUGGUCACCCAGUGGUGCUACAUUGAGUAAUAGCCUGUAUUUAAGUUUUCUGUGUCUUCAUGUUGAAUUUCAGAGAUCUGCUUUGUGAUUUGGCUUGUUGCUUCCUUCCUGAUGUCAGGAAAGGCUUUCUAAAGGUAUUAAGCUUUUUUGGUAGAAAAUCGGCAAGAGUUUCAGUCUUCAUACAACCACAAUAAAGCAGAAUGCUCUGUGUGCCUUUCCUGUAGUAACUGAAGGGUAUCCACCUGCUUUAUUUACAUGAAUUAAUAUGUUCUCAAUGGCUCCUCUGUAGUAGAAGGAUUUCAUUCUUGCUAUCUCUUAGAAAAGGCAAAUGAGGGAUUAGAAAGGGUGUGGAUUGCUCCAAGUUCAUUGAGAGCCACAAACUGUGAUUGAAAUCUCUAACACCUGCCUUGAAUAGCUACACUGGAGCAUGUGUAGUACAAAAGCUGCUUAGAACUAGCUUCCUCAGCUCUGUAAGACACUGUUAACUCCAUGAAACCCUCACUUUCCUGGAUGCUCUCUCUUCUUGCAAUAGCCAGAUAAACACUUUAGGUGAAAUGCUCCCCAAAUUUCUCCUGGUUGUUUUUGCCACCCACAGGAAAAAUCAUGUGGGUCUGGUCCCCCACCUUUUUGGAUACAGCUGUAUCCUGAUCACCCUAAAAUCCUUUCUUAGAGAGACUUCUGCCAGGAUAUAAGAAGGAGGUUGUUAUAGAGGUAGGGAAGAUCUUGUCAACCAGGACAAUAGGGUCUUAGGGGUAGAAAAGUCAUACUUUUUCAGCCUACUUUGCCCAAGCUGUGGCAAGACAAGUUACAUUAUCCUAAUGAAAGAGAAGCCUGACUUUUUGGAAUUGGUGGGGGACAGCGAGUCUUGGAGAUAGAAAUAGCCUCUUUUCUCAGCAUCAGUCUCUCCAGGGGUUUCUCCUACUUCUUCCAUCCAGUCCUAUCUUCUUUUCUCCCACCUUUUCCAAAAACCCUAAACCCUGGAGUAGUAAAAUUAAGUUUUACCAAAGUCACUGAAGCAUUGAGCUGCUUCUGAGCUGUAACUUCUCUGUGCAUUUCCCAUUUUCCAUGCUUCAGUAUCUGAGGUAAAAGCUUCCUUUCUCAAAGAAGGUUCUAUCAAAUACAAUUCCAGGCCUGGAGGGGGAAGAGUGAAUAAACAUUCACAAUUUAUAUUCUUAAAUGUAAUGAAUUUUAAAGACAAUCUUGUGUUUUGAGACAUGGCGUGUGCUUUUUUAUCAUUUGGAGCUGGCAAAAGUACAAGUGUCUAUAGGAAAUUUUAAAACCUGUUAACAUUAUAAACAGAGUACAUUGCUCCCAUUCCCCACUCCGGAUCAGCUAUACUGGGUUUUUAAAAAGUGCCUAUCAGAAACAUCAGCUCCCCUCCUUCAGGGGUUGCAAGAUCUUCUCUAAAAUGAUCCUGCUUGCCCUCUAGAAAAUGCAGCUUCACAGGUGGAAUCAAGCCCUGACAGAGGGUACACUGAUGUGGAGGAACAGCAAGAGGGAUAAAAAGCUCCGAGCUGCCCUUACUCACGCAGGGAUGCAGGUGCUCAAGUGCGAGACACUUGGGCGGUGCGCAGGGAGAGGAAGCUGGCUCUCUUCCUGAGCAUGGCAGCAGCUGAGAUAUUAAUUCCAUGCUGCUGAGAGCGCCAAGUUCCCUCAAAAUGAAAAUAAGGCAGUUGUAAAGAGAAGUGGAGACCCAGGGUUAACUGUGAUAUCCUGCAGGAGAAGAUAAUAUUGAAGCGCUGUCAAGCGCUUUCACACGCCCCGGUCAUUUCAUCUUUGUGUCCGACACAAUGGCCAGGAAGGGAGCACAGCACUUAAGGCUCAGAAAGGAGAGCAGAUAGGGGCAGAUGAAGCUAAAGGGCUUGAAAGGUCAGAGAAGAGAAGGAAAAACAUUUCCAUGUUUCUCACAGCAACCUGAGCAAUAAUCCUGGAACAUGGACACAGCUGCAGCUGGCAAAAAAGAUGCAAAAACCAACAAUAAAAUCCUCCUGGGAUUAGGAAACAGUGAGGAGCUAGACUGAAAACCAGACACAUUUCAGAAUAAAUUCAGUGUUUAAAAGCAAUGAUGUGAAAGGCACAUGAGCCACAGUAAUAAAAUGUGGUAUGAGCUGUUACUGUAAACAGGGAGGAAUAAUUGACAGGGAACUAAAACAGAUCCGCACAGCAUGCAUAGCCCAGGGCCCUGCAAGCCGAUGGCUGAAUGAGAGGAAGAGGAGUGGCGUGGGGGCACAUCAGAGAGUCUGACAAAUCACUGCCAGAAAAUACAUAAACCACACAACAGCCC
ensembl:lncRNA